rfam:Corynebacterium uterequi strain DSM 45634, complete genome.
GUCGGUGGUUGAUGACGGUGAGGAAACGCCCGGUCCCCUUUUCGAACCCGGAAGCUAAGCUCAUUCGUGCUGAUGGUACUGCACUCGGGAGGGUGUGGGAGAGUAGGUUGCUGCCGAUA